CAUGCCGUAAACGAUGACAACUGGCUGUCGGCGAUAUACCGAUCGGUAGCGAAGCGAAAGCGUUAAGUUGUCCACCUGGGGAGUACGACCGCAAGGUUGAAACUCAAAGGAAUUGACGGGGGCCCGCACAAGCGGAGGAACAUGUGGUUUAAUUCGAUGAUACGCGAGGAACCUUACCCGGGCUCGAACGGUGCAGGAAUACAGGAGAGAUUCUGUAGCAUAGCAAUAUGUCUGCAUCGAGGUGC
rnacentral:rRNA from 1 species